rnacentral:lncRNA from 1 species
GGGUGGACUCCUGGAGGGGAUUAGCGACAUCAAUAUUAAGGGCCUUCAAUCGACGAACGGAGGCAGCCACAUAAAAUACUUUUUGGCUCUCAUAAUCGGGGAACUCAUCACACAACACCAUUAUUCAUCACACAUCUCCCGCGAUCACCGAUUCGAUCAUGAACUCAAUCUCACAUCAAGCUUUUGAAGAUCGUACGGGUAUCAUGAGCGGCUAAAUCUCUCGUGGACACUUCGGGUGAAUGAUUCCUGUGUUUAAGAUGCUUAGCUGCUAGGAAGGCGAAGCUAGAAUAAGAGUCUAGAGCAUAGUUGUCUGUAGAUCUUGCAGGACGAGUCUCUAGACAUAGAUAAACAAUAUUUAUUUUUAUAUUUGAAUCUGAGUUGUCGGAAUGGAAUAAUUGACUAGAUGUUAUCUGUAAUAAUUUGUUUUACUAUUUGGGAUACG